GAAAUCUAACUAAUAAUUAAUUGUUAACUUGGAUAAACUAAUGUAGACAAUACAAAAAAAUAUUUUAUAUGAAUUACACACAGAAAAUGAUACAUCAAAGUUAAUCAAUCUAGAGUGUUGCAUACAAAAGUUUCUUCGUCGAAAUGGCUUGAAUCAAAGUGAUGGAACUCCUCACCGCACAUUGAUUCAUCAUCAGCGACAUAGAGUGAAGGCUUUUUCGAAUGAUGGUUUUGCACUGCUUCACUUUUGGGGGUUUCAGCUACGUCGAAAAUUGAGCCCUUAAGCGGGUCAAAGUAAUCAGAGUCUGAAUCCUCAUCACUGUCUUUUAAUUGGACUUUGGGCUCUUCUUCUGGGUACUUGUGUUUGUGUGGGAACUUUAUAAUCAAACAAGAGCUGUUGGUUCUAAUA